rnacentral:rRNA from 1 species
CUACGGGAGGCAGCAGUGAGGAAUAUUGGGCAAUGCCCGCAAGGGUGACCCAGCAACGCCGCGUGGAGGAUGAAUGCCGUAAGGUUGUAAACUCCUGUGAGAAGGGAUGAAAAUGUGGGUUCGAAGCCCACUUUGACCGUACCUUCAGAGGAAACCCCGGCUAACUACGUGCCAGCAGCCGCGGUAAUACGUAGGGGGUUAGCGUUGUCCGGAUUUACUGGGUGUAAAGGGCGCGUAGGCGGGUCUGUAAGUCAGAGGUGAAAUCCUACAGCUUAACUGUAGAGCUGCCUUUGAUACUGCGGAUCUUGAGUUCAGAAGAGAGAGAUGGAAUUCCAGGUGUAGUGGUGAAAUACGUAGAUAUCUGGAAGAACACCAGUGGCGAAGGCGAUCUCUUGGUCUGACACUGACGCUGAGGCGCGAAAGCGUGGGUAGCAAACAGGAUUAGAUACCCCGGUAGA